GCCAGCGUGGUGUAGUGGUUUGAGUGUUGGGCUGCUACUCUGGAGACCAGGGUUCAAAUCCCAGCUCGACCA
rnacentral:tRNA from 1 species